rnacentral:rRNA from 1 species
GAUGAACGCUGGCGGCGUGCCUAAUACAUGCAAGUAGAACGCUGAAGGAGGAGCUUGCUCUUCUGGAUGAGUUGCGAACGGGUGAGUAACGCGUAGGUAACCUGCCUGGUAGCGGGGGAUAACUAUUGGAAACGAUAGCUAAUACCGCAUGACAACAGUUAUUGCAUGAUAACUGUUUAAAAGGGGCAACUGCUCCACUACCAGAUGGACCUGCGUUGUAUUAGCUAGUUGGUGAGGUAACGGCUCACCAAGGCGACGAUACAUAGCCGACCGGAGAGGGUGAUCGGCCACACUGGGAGUGAGACACGGCCCAGACUCGUACGGGAGGCAGCAGUAGGGAAUCUUCGGCGAUGGACGGAAGGCUGACCGAGCAACGCCGCGUGAGUGAAGAAGGUUUUCGGAUCGUAAAGCUCUGUUGUAAGAGAAGAACGAGUGUGAGAGUGGAAAGUGCACACUGUGACGGUAUCUUACCAGAAAGGGACGGCUAACUACGU